UACGUAGGGUGCGAGCGUUGUCCGGAAUUAUUGGGCGUAAAGAGCUCGUAGGCGGUUUGUCACGUCUGCUGUGAAAUCCCGAGGCUCAACCUCGGGCCUGCAGUGAGUACGGGCAGACUGGAGUGCGGUAGGGGAGAAUGGAAUUCCUGGUGUAGCGGUGGAAUGCGCAGAUAUCAGGAGGAACACCGGUGGCGAAGGCGGGUCUCUGGGCCGAUACUGACGCUGAGGAGCGAAAGCGUGGGGAGCGAACAGG
rnacentral:rRNA from 1 species